UAGGGAAUCUUCGGCAAUGGACGAAAGUCUGACCGAGCAACGCCGCGUGAGUGAAGAAGGUUUUCGGAUCGUAAAACUCUGUUGUUAGAGAAGAAUGUUGAUUAGAGUGGAAAAUUAAUCAAGUGACGGUAUCUAACCAGAAAGGGACGGCUAACUACGUGCCAGCAGCCGCGGUAAUACGUAGGUCCCGAGCGUUGUCCGGAUUUAUUGGGCGUAAAGCGAGCGCAGGUGGUUUAAUAAGUCUGAUGUAAAAGGCAGUGGCUCAACCAUUGUGUGCAUUGGAAACUGUUAGACUUGAGUGCAGUAGAGGAGAGUGGAAUUCCAUGUGUAGCGGUGAAAUGCGUAGAUAUAUGGAGGAACACCGGUGGCGAAAGCGGCUCUCUGGACUGUCACUGACACUGAGGCUCGAAAGCGUGGGUAGCAAACA
rnacentral:rRNA from 3 species